CGCAAUUUACCCUUGUCUGGGAGAUAGCCCGGAGAAAUCCGGAUUAAUAUCCCAUAAGAUAUUGGAGUGGCAUCACUCAGAUAUUAAAGCUCAGGCGGAUAAGGAUGAGCGUGCGUCCCAUUAGCUAGUUGGUAGGGUAAUAGCCUACCAAGGCGACGAUGGGUAGCUGGUGUGAGAGCACGACCAGCCACACGGGCACUGAGACACGGGCCCG
rnacentral:rRNA from 1 species